GCCAAUCGGCAGGGCGUCCCGCGGCUCCGCAGGGUGCUCGCGCGCAGGCGAGCCGGGCCGCGCGGCGCAGGCUCCUUUUGCCUCCCCUCUGGCCAUGGAGCGGCUGACGUUGCCUCCUGGCGGCGCGGCGGCGGUGGACGAGUACCUGGAGUACCGGAGAAUUGUUGGUGAGGACGAUGGAGGAAAACUUUUUACUCCUGAAGAAUAUGAAGAAUACAAAAAAAAAGUUUUACCUAUGCGCUUACAGAAUAGGUUAUUUGUGAGCUGGCGGUCACCAACAGGAAUGGAUUGUAAACUUGUUGGCCCGGAGACACUGUGUUUUUGUACACAUAGGUAUAAGCAACAUAAAACUGACUUUGAAACAAUUCCACAGCAGCGCCCCAUUGAUCUGCCUUGCCGAGUGACUGGCUGCCAGUGCAGGGCUUACCUUUACGUUCCUUUGAAUGGCACCCAGCCCAUUCGCUGUAGGUGCAAGCACUUUGCUGAUCAACACAGUGCUGCACCUGGUUUUACAUGUAAUGCAUGUUCCAAGUGUUCAGGAUUCCAUAGCUCUUUCACGUGUGCUUGUGGUCAGCCCGCAUAUGCCCAUGACACAGUCGUGGAAACAAAGCAAGAAAGAAUGGCGCAGGGAAAACCAGUGGGACAGGAUGUUCCUUAUGCAGCCAUGGGAGGAUUAACUGGUUUCAGCUCACUGGCAGAAGGCUACAUGCGAUUAGACGACAGUGGGAUCGGUGCACCUUCAGUUGAAUUUUUAAAUUCUCCAGUUACGGCCAUGGACCACCCAUUUCUAAAAGCAUUGCAAGGACCAUCUAGUUCUUCUCCAGAAACACUAACAAAUGUAGGUACAAGUAGUCAAGUUUCUUCCUUAAGGAGGCCUGAAGAGGAUGACAUGGCUUUCUUUGAAAGACGAUACCAGGAAAGGAUAAAAAUGGAAAAGACUGCUAAGAUGAAAGGAAAAUCUCCAUUGCCAUCAACUACAAAACCUUCAUGAAGGCUAUUGGACAAGUUAAAACCAUUAGGCAAAUAUGUCUUUUUGUUUAUUUAAAUGGAUCCUCUGACACUGGCUUGGGAUGUCCACUGGAACCCCUCUGCAUCAUCCAUGUGCAGUCCAAAGACAUGGGGGAGCCAAUAACCUUCCCUUGACUAAAUGGGAGGUAGAAGGCUAAUAUGUAAAUGGAACUGAUAGGAGGCAGGGGACCACUCUUAUGCCCCACUUCUGCCUCUUUCAUCUGCUGGUUAGGCAUUUCUGAGAUGCAUUUCAUAAGCUUCUUCAGAAAUUCUGUUGGGCAAUUACCCAUAGCACUGCCCAACUCAGUAAUACAUUUUUAUGUUAGCUUUCUCUUUUUCCUUUUUCUACUUCCCCAUCCCUACCUUGGGCUC